rnacentral:lncRNA from 1 species
UUAUGUGUUCUUGAGGAUUAUUUAAAGUGCGUAGCAGUGGCACUACACGAUCAUACAUGCAAAGUGGUUUUAGAAUUGCUAACCCAUAUUCCUGUAAUUAACAAAUGUACUAACUAGAUUACAUUAUUUGUAUAUUGCUUUUUUUUUUUUUUUUUUUUUUGGAGACAGUCUUACUCUGUCUCCCAGGCUGGAGCGCAGUGGCACAAUCUCUACUCACUGCAACUUUGCCUCCCAGGUUCAAGCAGUUUUCCUGCAUUAGCAAAUUGAAAAUCUGGAGAAGAAUAAUAAACAUAACAAUACAAUAAUAAAACAUAAUUUAACACUUUGGGAGGCCGAGGCGAGCGGAUCACGAGGUCAGGAGAUCGAGACCAUCCUGGCUAACACUAAGAGUCAAAGAUAUACAGAGAUGUACCCGGAGACAUUUACUAGCAGGUUUCAAUGACAAGUCUCAGAACAAAUCUAUGUUGUAGCAUUUGUCAAAAUUUCCUUUUCUUUUUAGAUUGAACAGUUUUCCAUUGUAUGUAUGUACCACAUUUUGUUUAUUCAUUCAUCUGUUGUUGGACUCUUGGGUUAUCUGCAUCUUUUGGCUGUUGUGAAUAAUUUUGUUGUGAACAUGGGUAUACAAAUAUCUACCCAAGUCCCUGUUUUCACUUCUUUUGGAUAUAUACCUAAGAGGGAAAUUGCAGGAUAAGUUGAGAAUUUAAAACAAAUGAGAACAUAAGAUUUUUAAAAUUGCAUUGUGAAUGUAAAAUUUUUAUCAAUCCUUUGCUCUCUUUUAGACAUAUUGAGAAAAUGUUAAAUAGAAAAAAUUAAGAAAUUUUAAUAAGAUGUUUCAGAUCUUUGAGUAUGAAAAACAUAACAGGUUUCACCCAGGAAGAGGAAGGGCCAGGCUUUUCCUUGCUGCAAAUGGCAUGAACUUCUGUGGCUCCACCCCAGUGCACACUCAUCCCAGUGCACAGGCCUGUUGGAAUUUCUCUGGGAACCCAUUUCCACCUGGCAGUCUCAAUACAGACUAUUUUCACUGCCCUGAAAAUCCUCUGUGCUCCGCCUGUUGGUCCCAACUCCAACUGCCUGAAAAUCCACUUUAAAAUGAGGUAAAUUAAACCUAUUUUGGAGGAGCUAUUUCUUUUUUUGAUGUUGCUGCUCCUGUUCAUUAAAUAGGAGCAACAGUUGUGUAUUUUGGAUGACGUUGCUGUAGCCUUCUGACCUCUUGAGCCCUCAAAACAGAUCAGAAAGAGUUGGGGGAGGGGCACUAGUGCUGGCAGGACAUCUGGAGUGUGAGGUGUCUCUUUUGGGAGGGUCGUAGAAGGUGAUCACCAGCCCGGAUGAGGUCUAUAAAGUCACUAAGAAUAAUACAUUACC